rnacentral:rRNA from 1 species
GACGAACGCUGGCGGCGUGCUUAACACAUGCAAGUCGAACGGAAAGGCCCUGCUUUUGUGGGGUGCUCGAGUGGCGAACGGGUGAGUAACACGUGAGUAACCUGCCCUUGACUUUGGGAUAACUUCAGGAAACUGGGGCUAAUACCGGAUAGGAGCUCCUGCUGCAUGGUGGGGGUUGGAAAGUUUCGGCGGUUGGGGAUGGACUCGCGGCUUAUCAGCUUGUUGGUGGGGUAGUGGCUUACCAAGGCUUUGACGGGUAGCCGGCCUGAGAGGGUGACCGGCCACAUGGGGCCUGGGAAGCGGCCCAGACCCCCUCGGGGGACAGGGGGGGGAAAUAUGGCAAAAAGGGGGGAGGCCGUCAGGAAGAACCCCGGUUGGGGAAAAACGGCCUUUGGGUUGUAAACCGCUUUCGCCUAUAGGGGAGCGUGGGGAACGGAAAUGGUGAAAGAAGCACCGGCAACUAAGUG